AUCCUGGAUCCCCAGCCAUGGCAGAUGAGCCAGCCGCCCCUGAUCCCAGAGGACACAGUGGUCUGCAGCAGAGGUGUACGUGUGACUGCAGCCAGGCAGGGCAGUGACACCUGUGGCUACAGGAAGCAGAGGAGCUACAAAGGUGGAGUCCCAUGAUCCCAAACCCCUGUCCUCAGCUCAGAGCCUGGUGGCACCAGGUGUGCACAGCACUCCCACUUCCCAACAGCAGUGUUUCCUGGGACCAAAGGGUAACAGGCAACAGCUGAGACAGUGUUGCUUGUACCAGUCUCUCUCCCACCUCCCCAACCCCAAUCCCCACAGCUGUGCUGGAGCUUCCCACUCAGUAGAUCUCAGAUGUGGCUUUACAUUGACCAUUUCCGUGUCCUGAGAGCAAAGCCAGCAACCACAGAAAUGCAAGCAAUAAAAAGCCAUCAGUGGGCCCCAGAAGGGCAGGCAGCAACAAAGAGAGUAUCCAUGUGACACAAAAUAGAGGAGCUGGAGGAUAGAACUUGCAGAUCCCAAUAUAGCCAGACACAGCUCAGGUAAGAGAAAUCAAAAACAAUUACUAUAAUGACACCUACUGAAAACAAAAAAAGGCUUCUAAUCUCUAAGCAAUUGAAAAGUUUGAAUCAAAACAAAACUGUACCUAAAUAAAAAAUGUAUUUGCUACAGAAAACAAUCCUCCGAAACCAAACAUAAAGUCAUGGGAGAUUCGAUCUAAUGGACAAAAAAUUCAAAAUAGCUAUCAUGAAUAAACUCAGUGAACUUCAAGAAAACUCAGAAAGAUGGUUUCAUGACCUCAGGAAUGAAAUCAAUGAACAGAAGGAAUACUUCAAUCUCCAAAGAGAUCGAAACUUUCAAGAAGAACUAAGCAAAAAUUCUGGAGGUGAAGAACUCGAUGAAUGAGAUGAAGAAUGCAUUGGAAAACAUUGUAAAAAGAGCAUGUCAUGUGGAAGAGAGAAUUAGUGAGCUUGAAGAUAGCUAUAAAUGGGGCAGGUAGAAGAGGAGAGACAGCUAACACUUUUUAAAAUGUAGAAAUUCUACAAGAACUAUCUGACUCCUUUUGAAAUGACAACAUAAGGGUAAUGGAUAUCACAGAAUGAGGAGAGAGAGAGAAGGGAGUAGAGAGCUUAUUUAAAGAAAUGGUAGCUGAGAACUUCCCAAACCUGGGGAAGGAACUGAAUAUACAAAUCCAUUGUGCAAGUAGAACACUCAAUUAUCUCAACACAAAAGGACCCUCUCCAAGACACGUGAUAACAAAACAGUCAAAAAUCAAUGACAAGAGGAUUGCUGGGAAGGUGGUAACACAGGACUCUGAACUGACCUUCUCCAAUGGACACAACAAAUUUACCCCUGUGGAAUGAUUACCUCUGAGUGAGAACUGAAGACUGUUAAAACGAACCCCGAAAACAAAGAACAACACUGACUGAGUUGUAAGAGGCAGAGAUACCUUCCUGCUGAGGAAAGAGUCACAUUCUUGCCAUGGUGCUUCAAGCCAGAGACAUUUUAAGGUAUGAAGCUUUUCCUGGAGGAGCAGGGGAUCUGAGGGGGAGAGUGAUGUCAUAAUAAGCAGCCUUCAAAUUCAGCACAACCAGAGACAAGUACCUGGCUUUGCUGGUUAUUAAACCCAAAGGAGAAUAUCCCCCAGAAAACCUAUUGAAGAGAAGAGAAAGAAAAGCCUGCUUUCAAGGGGCCCAUGCAGAAAUUUACCCAUUCUAAAAACCAAACAAAAUCACCAGAAAGAAAGGUGCAUAGUCCUUUGGUUAAAAAAAAGACUCACUGGAUAAGCUCUGAGCACAUCUCAGAGAGGCAGAAGGUGAUUGGGAUCACCACCCCAGGGAGUGAACACUGGUCGGAGCCAUUAUUGUGACAUAAUACAGGCCUCUGAGACAGACAGUGGCAGAUGCAAUCAUAUUUCUUCCCAUGGCCUGUUAGCUGAGGGGUUUAGCCUACCCACUAGAG
rnacentral:lncRNA from 1 species